GACUCUAGAUUGGGAAGGCAGGGCCGCCACGUGUUAUGUGGUGUCAGAGGGGCUGUGCUCGCUCGCUCCCACCCGCUGGCCGAACCCCAAACCCGCAGAAUGACGCUGAUCCGCGGCGCCAGUUCCCGCCCUGGGGCGCUGACGAAGCUCCCGGCAACCGGACUUCAGGAAUCAUUCCCAGCAUAGAAAUUGGGUGUUGGGCGGAAGAGGCCAAACUCAGGCACCAGGAACGGGGUGAAGGGCUACAGUAGGAGGCCCUGCACCCCUUAGAAAGGGUUUUAUGAGAAGAUGAAAGCUCUCUGGCCCCCGGCGGUUGGAUGAAGGCAUCGCAAUCUUUGCUACUCCUCUGCGGCGAGCCUAGAGCAUAUUCUGAGUGACGUCAGUUUGGGGGAUCCAGCACACUGAUGGAGAAGCAAUCCUUCAUCACGUUGAAGUACCUACAGCAGUCAGAGUGUUAUGUCUCUGCUUCGGAGGGAACGUCAAGAAAAGUGUGGUCCCUGCCCUUCCGGGGUUUGGGGUGCAGAGAGGUAGACAGCAGGAAGUGCCGGACCCCAGCAAGGUGAGUUCACUGGAGGAGAGAUUUUGGGCGCCCUUUAAGUACCAUGUUAGCUGCAUCUCCCGUGUCUUGAUGCCCUACUGGACACCUACACGCUGCUUCAGACUUUCAUGGCCCUUCUCCAGCUGCUGCCAGCACUUCUGCCAGCACCACCUCCCAGAGCAGGCGUCCAGGCUUGAGAACGCCGGGGCUGCACACUCCGUAAAUCACAGCCGUGGGGUCACAGCACUUCUGCAGCAUUCUGUCGUCAGUACAAGUCACGGGGUCAGCCAGAUUCAAGAGAAAGGGGAAUAGACCCGACCUCUUGUCAGAGAGCGACAAAGAAUUUUCUACUCUUUUCCAUCCACCAUCACAAUGACUAUAUGGCCCAUUUAGUCUACCUAUAUAAAGUUCAAAACAGACAAGACGAAUCUACAGCAAUAGAUAUGUGAAUAGUGGUUGCUUCUGGGGGCUGGGGCUGGGGCUGGACUGAAAAAGAGUACAAGGGGAUUUUCUCAGGUGCAGACAAGACUACAGUGAUUGGGGGAGGUGUCAGUUACAUGGAUGUAUAUGUAUUUGUCAAAACUCACCAAACUGGACACUUAAGAGCUGUGGGUUUUAGUGUAUAAAAUUAUACCUUAAUAAAUAAACAGGCAACAACA
ensembl:lncRNA